UGUAUUCACUACUGUAAAUCGCUCUGGAUAAGAGCGUCUGCUAAAUGACUAAAA
rfam:Salmo salar isolate Sally breed double haploid chromosome ssa25, whole genome shotgun sequence.